GACGAACGCUGGCGGCGUGCCUAAUACAUGCAAGUCGAGCGGUAAGGCCUCUUCGGGGGUACUCGAGCGGCGAACGGGUGCGUAACACGUGGAUGACCUUCACUCAGCUAUGGGAUAAGCAUGGGUAACUGAGUCUAAUACUGGAUAUGACCUUUAUUUGCAUGGGCUUUGGUGGAUAGUUUUUUCGGCUGGGGAUGGGACGGCAGCCUAUCAGCUUGUUGGUGGGGUGAUGGCCUACCAAGGCGACGACGGGUAGCCGGCCUGCGAAGCCGACCGGCCACACUGGGACUGAGACACGGCCCGGACACCUACGGGAGGCAGCAGUGGGGAAUAGUGCGCAAGGGGCGGAAGCCUGACGCAUCUACGCCGCGUGGGGGAUUACUGCCAUGGGGGUGUAAACCUCUUUCGACCUCGACGAAUUUUGACGGUAGGUGUAGAGGAAGCACCGGCCAACUACGUG
rnacentral:rRNA from 1 species